CAGCCGCCGCGGUAAUACGUAGGUGGCAAGCGUUGUCCGGAAUUAUUGGGCGUAAAGGGCUCGCAGGCGGUUUCUUAAGUCUGAUGUGAAAGCCCCCGGCUCAACCGGGGAGGGUCAUUGGAAACUGGGAAACUUGAGUGCAGAAGAGGAGAGUGGAAUUCCACGUGUAGCGGUGAAAUGCGUAGAGAUGUGGAGGAACACCAGUGGCGAAGGCGACUCUCUGGUCUGUAACUGACGCUGAGGAGCGAAAGCGUGGGGAGCGAACAGGAUUAGAUACCCCGUAGUCCCUGUCUCUUAUACC
rnacentral:rRNA from 1 species